AUUAAGGCCGUUUUCCAUUAACGCCCGCUUUGCACGCGCGGGCGAUGCGUUUAUUGUUUUUGACGAUCGUCACGCCCGCGUGAGCAAAGCGACUGCAAUGGAAAAUUGCCUUUAAUCGUAAUGGUAAUCGGCCUUGAGCAUUUCGUUGUUUCAAUAAUAUAUCCGGCCCCCCUCGAAACGGUCCCCCCCCCCGACCUUUUGAUACUUCCUACGCCCCUGAUUCGAUCUGUCCUGAAAUUUACCCCCCGAAAGGGCAAUGAUGAACAUGAGCAUGAGAUAAAGAUGAUUUUCCAUGGUG